rnacentral:rRNA from 1 species
UGGGGAAUAUUGGACAAUGGGGGGAACCCUGAUCCAGCCAUGCCGCGUGUGUGAAGAAGGCCUUAUGGUUGUAAAGCACUUUAAGCGAGGAGGAGGGUACUGGUAUUAAUACUACCAGGUACUGGACGUUACUCGCAGAAUAGCACCGGCUAACUCUGUGCCAGCAGCCGCGGUAAUACAGAGGGUGCGGGCGUUAAUCGGAAUUACUGGGCGUAAAGCGCGCGUAGGUGGUUCGUUAAGUUGAAUGUGAAAGCCCCGGGCUCAACCUGGGAACUGCAUCCAAAACUGGCGAGCUAGAGUAGGGCAGAGGGUGGUGGAAUUUCCUGUGUAGCGGUGAAAUGCGUAGAUAUAGGAAGGAACACCAGUGGCGAAGGCGACCACCUGGGCUCAUACUGACACUGAGGUGCGAAAGCGUGGGGAGCAAACAGG